rnacentral:rRNA from 1 species
UACGGAGGAUGCGAGCGUUAUCCGGAUUUAUUGGGUUUAAAGGGUGCGCAGGCGGCACGGCAAGCCGGCGGUCAAAUCGCGGGGCUCAACCCCGCCCAGCCGUCGGAACUGCCGGGCUAGAGUGGGCGAGAAGUGCGCGGAAUGCGUGGUGUAGCGGUGAAAUGCAUAGAUAUCACGCAGAACUCCGAUUGCGAAGGCAGCGCACCGGCGCCCUACUGACACUCAGGCACGAAAGCGUGGGUAUCGAACAGG